CCCCCCGCCCCGCCCCGGCCCCGCCCCCGCCGCCGCGCCUCCUCCUCCCCUCCCCGCGCGGGUGAAACCCGAGCGCCCCACCCCGCGCCUGACCUCCCCGGGCCCCGCCCCCGCCGCUGCCCUUCCCGGGACGGGACCCCCUCCUCGCCCGCUUGCCCCCUGCACCCCAGCGGCCCCACUCCUUCCUCCCUGGUGCGAGUGCGCCCGAGCGUUGACUUUUCGGUGACUCCCUUUCCCCCGCCUCGCAGAGACCUUCCGUGGCUCCCCCGCCCCCCCAUCCGGCCUCUGAGACGUGGCUCCUGGAGGCAGGGGGGGGGGGUGGGGGGAGGAGGUAUAAAGGGCGGGAGACCUCGCGGGCCGAGACCCGAGACGUGGCGCGCCCACCCUGCCGGCCUCAUCUCCAGCCACGUCGCUGCCCUGCCUCCUCUGUGUGGAGCGGAGCCCAGAUCGCCACCCAGAAGAGGUGAAGAUGUGGCCGUAGGUCAGGAAUGCCCUCAAAGGGAAACCUGGAUAUUUGUGAUCUUUACGCCGCGAUGAGAUAGUAUGAGUGUCAUGAAAAACCUCCGUCCAGAAAUCGUGGUCUCCAGGCGUCUGCAUCGUCACUGGCUUUUCCUACAGAGGAGCCAGGGACAACAUAUCACAAUCCUCAACCACAGUGUUCUUGCACCCCGGUCUUCUUUCUUUUAGAUGCAUGGUUUUUAAGGAUUCAUUGAACUGCUGGAUCAUCUGAUCAACCCCAUCAGUGUUUCUUUGUUUGCAGAUGGCCACAUUUUGGUGAAAAGAUAGGCCAUUUUAUGGCACGCUAGGAUUGCCUAGUGCUCUUUGUUGUUCAUGUAUGUAAAGACCCGUGAUUAUGGCUACAGGUGAUGCAGACUUAAGUUUUGAGAGGUGAGGCAUCUCCGGGUCGGCAGAGCUUAGGGUGCCCUCAGCCCCUACUCAAGUCCCUGGAGCUUUACCAGAAACUCUUUAGGGUUCUUUUACCCAAGAAAGGCUCACCACCGCCCUUUAUGUAGCAGCCCGCUCCCCUGUAAGCAGACCAGUUUUAUUCAAAAACAGCAGCCCGGAAACCAGGACGCAAUAGAAAGAAAAUAUGUCUGGCACAUGUGAGAAGGAGCAUACGUGGGCACCGUACAAGGGGCAGGUGCCUGGACCUUACAUAGAAGGACUGGAUCCUCUCUGUGGGCACCUGCUCUCAGCCCUCUGCCAGUCUGCGCCCUGGACACUCAUCCUCUCCAUUUCUCUAAGUUUCCACCCAAGUCCAUCCAGAGCCUGCCUCGAGCUUCCCUUGUCUGGGCAGAGAAACAUGCUUUGCCCCUGGCACCUGGAUGGUGGAGGUUGACCCAGCACAGCUUGACCUUCACACGACCCAGCUGAGUUCUUCUCUGGGAACGCCCUGGAAUUAAUUCCACAGGUGAAAAACACCUCAUGGCUACAUUCAGGGAGGCAGCCUACUUAAAGCCCACCUGCUAAGAGCCACUGCAAAAACUGAAGGAUACAACAGCCCGAGCCUACGUUCAACGAGAAGUGCUCACUUAGUUUUCACUCAGAAAAGUUUAGUAAUUCAUCUUGCUUCCAGGAAGGGCCUGGUAACAAAAGACACUGCAUAUUACUUUAGUAAAACUUUUGCUUUUACUUCUGUGUAUCCAGAGGACCAAAGUAGAUUAGAGAUCUGGAAGUAUUUUUGCCUUUUCUUUAUGGUUGAAUUUCUACCAACCCAAUUUCCGUACAAAAAAAAAAAAAAAAAAGAAAAAAAGUAAAAAAUAUCCAUGCUCAAAACACCUGAAGUCAUUUUUUUUUUAAUAAGUAUAGUAUGGGGAGAAGGAAAAAGCUAGGUUUAAAAGAUUUUUGGGGGGGAGCCUGGGUGGCUCAGUCGGUUAAGCGUCCGACUUCAGCUCAGGUCAAGAUCUCGCGGUCCGCGAGUUCGAGCCCCGCGUCGGGCUCCGGGCUGAUGGCUCCAGAGCCUGGAGCUUGUUUCCGAUUCUAUGUCUCCCUCUCUCUCUGCCCCUCCCCCGUUCAUGCUGUGUCUCUCUCUGUCUCAAAACUAAAUAAACGUUAAAAAAAAAUUUUUUUUUUAAAGAUUUUUGGAAUACCUAGAGGAAAUACAGAUGGUUUAUAGCAUGGAAAUAAGCAUCCGUAUGGUUUCCUAAGUGGUAUUUUCUGACAUUGGGCGUUGUAUGUAUCUCAUGUCUACAAGCAAAUAAUUGCUAUGCUGGAAUCCAUGUUCUUUUUAUUCCUCUGUCUUUGGAAAUAGAGCUUUGGGGGGAACUAAGUCCCUUUGGAAAUAUAUUUUCAAAAAUAAUGUUAGUCCUACAUAGAUUUAGGAAUAAAAUACAAAUUGGUCU